rnacentral:rRNA from 1 species
AAUGGGGCAACCCACCUGAUUAUACUCUGUUAUUGCUUCGCAAUGUCCGCUCCGUGCCGACCUUUGGUCGGUACAUUUUGAUCUUCGAUCAAAACACUGGGUGGUCGCCAGCGAAGUGAUUAUCAGGUGUAAGACCAGGUAUUUUUAGGCUGAAUAUAUAGGCUUAAAAAGGCAAACCCGGGGAACUGAAACAUCUAAGUACCCGGAGGAAAGGAAAUCAAUUGAUACUCCCCUAGUAGCGGCGAGCGAACG